rnacentral:lncRNA from 1 species
AGUACGAUGAUCCCACCGCAUCUUAGUUAAGAGAAUAAACUGCUGGGUACUUUAUUAAUGGGGCGGGUGGGGGGGGGGGAUACAGGAGAGAAAACCUAAGUGAGGAAAGGACCAAUCAACAAACAAACAAACAAACAAACAAGGUCCCCUCCUAUCUCUUGAUCCCAACUAGAAAGAGAGUGAGCAAAGUGAACAGGUAAGAAAGGAAGUGUAAUUCUUCCUAGUUCAACUCUCAGAGCUGCUGGUACGGGGCUGGGAAGGUCAAGAACAGUUCACAAGGAUGAGCUGAGGUUUAUAGAGAAGAGAUAUUUUUAAAGUAAUAGAUGGCUGCAAGGGGCUGGGGAGGGAGAAGCAAACACAUUAUUGGAACCGCCAAAUAAAAUAUAUAUCAAAAAUUCCAACUGUCAGCCAGCAGGUCUGGAGCAGAAGAGAGUCCCUCUGCCUUUGUCCCAGUGAUGCCGGGCUCAAGGCUGUUUCUGCAGGGCUGCAAUCAAACUCCUUGAAUAACAAUUUAUAAAUACUCUGGGAAGCUUGGAGAAAAGACCUAGACUACAAAAAUUCACUGUUGCAUUCACAACUCAAAGAACAGUGAAACAGAUGGAAAGAGAAGACCUAGUGACAGAGGUGGAGUCCAGAGAAGAGUGAGGAAGGAUAAAACAUUUUGAUCCUCUUUACUUGCUCAGAUCUUUUGCAGUUAAUGAGUCCCCACGCAGCUGGACAGCUCCUCUCGGACACUGAGAACUCUAACCCCAAAAUGACCCCAAUUUGACACCGCAAGAUGAAAUUUUACCGCCUGUUAAAACCAUUUCCAGCCUGGGCAAAAGGAGCUGACUGUUGACGGAGGUGUGUGCCGCCUCCUGCGACCCCCAUCUCGUGCCAGUCUCCUGGGCCUGCCCCACCUACUUUUCCUUCACCCCAAAUGUGGAAGAACAGAGGAGCCUCGCAGCCUGGAUUGGGGGUGCAGAGGCUGAGACUGGAGCAUCAGUAAUCAGGCUAGAAAUCAGAAAGUGUGUGCACCUCCCUGCUUUGGAAUCGCUACUGUUGGACUGGCACAAUUGGACGAGAUUGGCCAAGACCCGACACCCUGAAUCACCUCCAACUUGA